GGCCGGUUAGCUCAGUUGGUUAGAGCGUGGUGCUAAUAACGCCAAGGUUGUGGGUUUGAUCCCCAUAUGGGCCA
rnacentral:tRNA from 1 species